rnacentral:sRNA from 1 species
AUGUACCCACGUACAUUCCGGUUCCUCCGCGCCGUGCGCACGCACCUGACGACUGCUCGCUACGUUUUUUUAGCC